ensembl:lncRNA novel transcript
AAGUCCGUUGAGGCUGCCAGGCGAGUCAGGCCUUUCUGGACCUCGCCUGACUCGGAUGGGCUGUGCCUGAAAUUGACCCAGCUCCACUAGGGAUUAUGAAGAAACAAGGAGUAAACCCAAAGCCGCUGCAAUCUUCCCGCCCCAGCCCGUCUAAGCGGCCGUACGGGGCCUCCCCCGCCCGGGAGCUGGAGGUGGAAAAGUCGGCCCUAGGCGGCGGGAAACUGCCAGGGGGCGCCAGGAGGUCCUCCCCGGGGAGGAUCCCAAAUCUGAAAAAGCGAAAAGGCUUGGAGCUAAAGGUGGUGGCCAAGACCCUUCUCGACCCCUUCCAGUUCGUCCGUAAUUCCCUGGCGCAGCUCCGGGAAGAGGUGCACGAACUGCAGGCGCGGUGGUUCCCCAGCAGAACCACUCUCAGCAUCGGGACUUUAUUAUUCCUACUUCAAGACCAUCAUUGAAGCACCUUCAUUUUUGGAAGGACUGUGGAUGAUUAUGAAUGACAGGCUUACUGAAUAUCCUCUUGUAAUUAAUACAGUAAAACGCUUCCAUCUUUAUCCAGAGGAUUGGGAGAUCCUGCUUGCUUUUAUGUUGGUGUAAUCUUUAUUUUAAAUGGACUAAUGAUGGGAUUGUUCUUCAUGUAUGGAGCAUACCUGAGGACCUCAAGCAAUGAUAGAAGGCCCUUCAUUGCACUCUGUCUUUCCAAUGUUGCUUUUAUGCUUCCCUGGCAAUUUGCUCAGUUUAUACUUUUUACACAGAUAGCAUCAUUAUUUCCCAUGUAUGUUGUGGGAUACAUUGAACCAAGCAAAUUUCAGAAGAUCAUUUAUAUGAACAUGAUUUCAGUUACCCUUAGUUUCAUUUUGAUGUUUGGAAAUUCAAUGUACUUAUCUUCUUCUUAUUCUUCAUCUUUGUUAAUGACGUGGCUAAUUCAAGGUAGUGCCUGGUGGUGUGGAACAAUCAUUUUGAAAUUUCUGACAUCUAAAAUCUUAGGCGUUUCAGACCACAUUCGCCUGAGUGAUCUUAUAGCAGCCAGAAUCUUAAGGUAUACAGAUUUUGAUACUUUAAUAUACACCUGUGCUCCCGAAUUUGACUUCAUGGAAAAAGCGACUCCACUGAGAUACACAAAGACAUUAUUGCUUCCAGUUGUUAUGGUGAUUACAUGUUUUAUCUUUAAAAAGACUGUUCGUGAUAUUUCGUGUGUUUUAGCUACAAACAUUUAUCUAAGAUGCUGUCUUCGCAGGUGCCAUGCCUACAAUGGCAAGCGUCAAGCUGUCUACACUUCAUCCCAUUGUGAAUCAUCCACUUUACGAAGAUGCAGACUUGAGGUUGGCAGCUGAUGAGUAUUUCUUCAAGACUCACUUGGCGACUCCCAAUUCUUAGGAAUUGGGAAAAUUUUUACACACACACAGACACACACACACACACACAAACUCAUCCUCAUUUUCGUACUGGAAGUUAAAAAAAAAUGACAAUAACCAUCCAGAAAUGACAAUAUGUACCUGUUGCCUCUGGAGCAAGCAGACCUCUGAAAACUGAAAAAUGCAAAAGCCAGUUUUUUCCAAAGUGACAAAUGUGUCACAUAUUUAUGAUGUGUGCGUGUAUUCCAGUAAAACUACUAGGUAGUUGGAAGAGUAGGUAGGAUGGAUUUUACUCACAGCCAUGGUUUGCCAACCCCUGCUCUACACCACAAGCCCCACUCUGAUUUAAGAAAUGAUUUCUAGAUCUUACUGGUGGCCAAUGACUAGCUUUUUGUGACAGGUAGAAAAAGUACAUGAAAGUUGCUAUUAUAUAGUACGUGCUUUCAUGAAAAUUUAGAGUAUUUUUGCUAGUCGAUUAUGAGAACUCUAGUUUCCAUUGAUGUCUAAAAGUUUUGCUUUCCUUAAAUGGCUGGUUUAAAAAAUUAUUUUGGUUAUUCUAGUAGUUGUCAGGGUAAUCAUUUUUAAAAGUGGAUUUUUGGCCUAUUGUUAGAGGCAAAUGUUUAAAUUAUUUAAAAGUUUUAGGUCUUCUGUCUAGGAGCCAGGGCUUGGAGUCAGACACCUUAGAAGUGUACCUGAUGCUCUCUCUGUUCUACUGUGGUGAACUGGCAUGGAAACCACUGUGGUGACUGAGCAUCCCAUAUGCUUGAAAUUCUAAGCAACAUCCAAUGCAUAAGUGAUAGUUUGUCAGGAUUUUGUAAGAAUUCCCACUACGGUCAAAUCACCUAUUGUACCAUAUUUUGGUGACCAUCCCCAUUUCUCAAGAUUCUGUGAAGGUGCUUUUCCUACCUCUUCUGAUACCGUGGAUGUCCAUUGUCUAAGUGUUCUACUUGAUACACUAAAUUUCAAUUCAUUUAUUUGUCAGAGCUUCUUUAGAUGAAAUUAAGCAUUGAAAGAUGUGUUUUCACUACAUUCAGUCUCUGUCAGAAUAUAUUCUCUGAAAACUGUGUGAAUUAUGAGAAGAAAACUGUAUAUCCUAAGCUGCUCUCUGCUACCCAGUACAACUUUAGACUAUCUUAUACAGUAAUGAGCAGUAUAUGCAAAAUUAAAUUGCUGUAAGUUUUAUUACAUUCAAAAUAUAAGUAGGAAUGUGGAAACUGCCAUCCCCAAAAUAGUUGAUGCUGUUUUGAGUCAUGUAUAUCAGUGUUCCAUCCAGUGAGUAUUGAGAUUUCAAUUUGCUAGUAAGAUUUUUUUAGUCUAUUCUAUUAUCAUUUAUUUUAAAAUCUUUUAAACUAUUGUUUAAAUUUAAAGGGCUCGGACAAAAAUAGUUUAUUCUACAUAUAGUCGAAAAUCUGCCAAAGAAGUAGGAGAGAAAUUGUUGGAGUUACAUGUGAAUUAUUAUGUUUUAGAAGAGGCAUGGUGUGUUGUGAGAACUAAGUGAGUAUUAACCCUAUGCUAUCUGAUAUGGUACAUUUUUGAGCAACAAAUGUUUCACUUUAUUACAGUAGUCCUGAUUCUUUAAGAAUUUUUAUUUUAAAUUUAUUAAAAUAAUAUCCUGGUA